GGGUUGUGAGGUUAAGCGACCAAGCGUACACGGUGGAUGCCCUGGCAGUCAGAGGCGAUGAAGGACGUGCUAAUCUGC
rnacentral:rRNA from 1 species